rnacentral:rRNA from 2 species
GGGCGCAGCCUGAUGGAGCACACCGCGUGAGUGAAGAAGGGUUUCGGCUCGUAAAGCUCUGUUGUUAAAGAAGAACACGUAUGAGAGUAACUGUUCAUACGUUGACGGUAUUUAACCAGAAAGUCACGGCUAACUACGUGCCAGCAGCCGCGGUAAUACGUAGGUGGCAAGCGUUAUCCGGAUUUAUUGGGCGUAAAGAGAGUGCAGGCGGUUUUCUAAGUCUGAUGUGAAAGCCUUCGGCUUAACCGGAGAAGUGCAUCGGAAACUGGAUAACUUGAGUGCAGAAGAGGGUAGUGGAACUCCAUGUGUAGCGGUGGAAUGCGUAGAUAUAUGGAAGAACACCAGUGGCGAAGGCGGCUACCUGGUCUGCAACUGACGCUGAGACUCGAAAGCAUGGGUAGCGAACAGGAUUAGAUACCCUGGUAGUCCAUGCCGUAAACGAUGAGUGCUAGGUGUUGGAGGGUUUCCGCCCUUCAGUGCCGGAGCUAACGCAUUAAGCACUCCGCCUGGGGAGUACGACCGCAAGGUUGAAACUCAAGAAAUU